rnacentral:tRNA from 1 species
GUGGGUUUAGCUCAGUUGGUUAGAGCGCCAGAUUGUGGCUCUGGAGGUCGUGGGUUCGACUCCCACAACUCACCCCA